ACCUCCUCCCCGGCUCCCGGCGCCGCCCGCCCCCCACAUCUCACCUCCCAGGUAAAAAAAACCCGCCGCCCCUCCUCUCGAUCCACCCCCUCCCGCUGCGACCUCUCUCUUCCCUCGUCUCCCGCUCCACCGCCGCCGCCCCAUCUCCCGCUCCGCCGUCGCCCUGCCUGACGGCACAGGGGAAACCCUAGAUCACACGCUCCGCCACCCUAUCUCCCUGCCCUUCGUCUCGCCGUCGCCGGAGGAGCGGCCGACGAAGCCCGCGUCACCUCCAAGGAAGGCGACGGUGGGGCCCUUCGUCCGUUUUCGUAGGCCAUGGCUGCCUGAGCGGCCCGGAGGAUGGACUGCGCGGUGUCUGCGCGUAGAGGUGCGGCGUAUCCCGUGCAGGCGAGCUCGUCGCAGCGUGCGGGAGGGCGUGGCGCCGUGGCUGUGUGGUGGAGGGCGCCGUGGAGCAGGGCGUGGGCCGGAGCGCCCGUGCUCCGGGCCGCAAGGAGGCUCGCGGGCGCGUCGCCGGCGUGCGGCGCAGGGCGCCAGAGUUGAUGCGGCCUCGGCCGUUGGUCUAGCGACGCCCUGCUGCUCGAGUGGGCAGGCGGGCCGGCCAGAUCUGGCUGUCUGUGGAGGCGGGCGUCCCUGCUGAUGGCGCUGCUGGCCUCCAGAGGGCGGGCGUUCUUGGACGUGCUCCUUGGCGCGGCUGUGCGGGGCGUGCGGCUGCUGCGGCUGCACGUGAGGGCUGGCGCGGAUCUGGGCAUGGCAGCGCGAAGUGGCCGUUUCUCUGGCUCGAUCUGCUGCUAUGGUGUCCAGGCGGCCGGAAGGAGAUGGUCGGUGGUUGGAGGGGCUGUAGGCGCGCUGGUCUUACACGGUGAGGAUUGGCGAGGUGGGCUACUCGGGUCCACUGGUUGGAUGGUUAAGGUUGCCGGCGAAAGCUGAACUCCGGCAGUGGCCGGAGUUGUCGAUGGCGGCACCGGCAGGCCGUUUCCUUGCUGAAGCAGCCAGACAUGCCCAUCCGGCCGGAAAGGAAUCGGCAAGCUGCAGAUUGAUCAAGCUAAGUAAUUUUCUUAUCUUUGUUUGCACGGCCAGAUAGCACGCCUUCUUGCUGAUUACUUCUUCCCGUACACUCACGUGAAACAACAUAGAUUCACUAAUUGAUUUCGGCCAGAUGCGCUAAUACAGAAAGUUAGCUUGAUUAGUUAAUCUUCAGCUAUUUGGGCCUAAUAUUUUUUUGAUCUGGUCAAGUUCACACUGGGUUCUUAUUUUCAUAAGGCCAAAUGGUGUUCAUCAAUGCUUGGACAUGAACUCUGUUGUCAUCCUAUUUUAACAAUAUUAGGCCCAAAUUUGAUGUAUUUUCAUAACGCUGAGCUCUGUUGUCAUCCUAUUUUCUACAAUCUUAUGCUAUUCUUUUUCUUCCAUUCGUUUGCUUAACAUUAUAUUCUCUGUAGAUAUGUCAAAUUUGAUGUGUUUGAAAGAUGACUAAAAGUAGCAGUACUGUCGUAUGGCCGGCUUAAUUAAUAUUCCAACCACCAAUCGUGGCUACUAACUACCAAGAAAAGCAGUCAUAUGUGUACCUUUACUAAGAGUAGCAGUUCCUGAAGUUUAUAUAUUGCAGACUGCGGUGUGGUGGUCAAUAAAUCAUGUCAAAUGUUGUAGGGUGCUCGAAGUAAUGAGUUUGCUGCUGCUUCAAGCCAAGUGCACCUCUGUAGUCUUGCUGAAGAAAGAGGAGGAGAAGUUGAACGUAUAAGGUGUCGUGGCUGGAGGCCGCAUGGACCCCACCUCCGCCGCAGGGGCGACGUGUAUUUCCUCUUGCUUCACCGCCUUAUAGCCAAGCUGACCAGGAGUGACCUCCUCUCCUACUACACCAGCGGCCUUCACUGGCUCUGGAGACAUGCUGGCCAUUGACGCUCCGACGCCGAUGAGUAAUCAGUUCCAUCAUUGACAUAUAACUUGACAAGUUGUUGGGCAGGAUGGGUUCCGUUGGAGUUGUGGUCCAGACACAAUAAUUCUUUGAAGCAGCGCCGUAGUGGAAUGAUGUAAAAAAAGUGUGAUGUGCCACAAUUUGGAUGAAAUGAUUUCUAGCUGCUAUGAGGAACGAAGCUUAAUCGGUGACUGCACUCUUUUUAACCAAGCUUCAGUCUAAGGUAAAUGAUACCACAUAUUAUGCCUCCUCUUUUUAAUCUUCUAUUUCUCAUGCUGAAGUGUUGCUAUUAAUACUUGUAUGUUAAUUUAGCUAUUGGAAUCCUUCGUCAUCUUCCUGUUUGGUUUAGUAAUUAUUUGGGAGAUAAUCACUUUGGGGUUUCAGGCACCUUGGUAUGCACAUGGCAAUGCAGAGCCCAAGAAUAUGAUUCUGGACAGUAACCUGUAGUUUCAUCAACCAUACUUCUGGUCAUACUACUGUACCUACAAUCACUCUCAUUCAAUUUUUUUUAGAGGAACUGCAUUUCACCGAUCUGGACAUUCAGUUAAGGAAUUUGAAAGGUUCAGGUCAUACAUGAUUGAUAUGUGCAUUUGAUUGCAAGGUCAAAACUUUUACUGAGAUGCUUCUUUGCCCCAUUACAAGUUACGAAUGACACACUUAUUUUCAAGUUUGACGUCUAAUUGCUCCCUUCUUGAUGCAUAAUUUUCAGCAAUCAAGGUUGGUCGCUACCUUACCCUGUCCUCGCAUAGUUAAUAGAAAUCCAAUUUAAGGUUCUAUAAUUAAAUACAACGCCAAGAAGCACUACCGCGGGCAUCAUGUGUGCUUGAAACAAAUCUUCUCUUUUUCUAAAAGAGUGGUAUCAAUUUGUUCGGAAUUAGAAUAUUCCUCUUUUUGAAACACUCACAUGUCUUUUGAUUAUUCUAACCUGGGACUAAGUACAGUUGGAUGCAAGCUUGAUAUGUAAGUACGUCUUAGUUUAAUUAUUAGUCCUUGACCAUGAGCAAGAAUCUAGCUAGAUGGGCUUUCAUGUUACACAUAUAUGCUUGUUACUGGUUUGCGAGCUAAUAUCUAUUAAUUAAUUAGUUAAUUCUUGAAUUAACCUGUAAUUUGCUAACUAUUAUUGGUUAUCACCGUCCACCAUCUUCGUUUGGUUGUAAGUUGUUGACCAUUAGCAAGAAGCUAGCUAAUUGUGUGUGCAUGCCACACACGUGCACAUAUAUCAGUUGUUGCGAGUUAAGAUCAUCUGCCAACUACCUUUAUAUGUAAUUGUGUGCUGCAUUCUCACUGCUUCCAGUAGAUACUAUCAUUUCAGAGUUCACCUAAAAUUUGCAAUGUUCAAAUUUUUGGGAUCAAAAUACAACUUUUUUUAAAUUUAAGCCAAUAUAAAGUGUGUGCAGGUUGACUUUUAAACCAUUUUUGCUUACAAGAAGCUUAUCAGUUGUAAUGUUUAGCACCUACAUAACCUGAUGGUCAUGUAGUGACUUGGGAUUGGCGAUUAAAGAAACAUGGGUAUCGAGCAUAUUAAUGUGAGAAGUAGAUAUACAAUAUGUUAUAAAGGAGAAGACAAGUAAAUAUUGAGUGUGAAAGAUAAGUAUGAUUUUUUUACUAUCAUAUGAAUUAUUGAAUUUAAUCUGGUAUUCAACCCCUCAAAAUUAGAUUUAAUACAUGCUACUACACCAUUACUUAUCUCUACUAUUAAAGGAGAAUUUGACAAGUAAUCAAGCAAGUCAGCACUAUCGUCGAUGGAAGUUGUCGUGCGGAGAUGGAAGUUGACAAGUAAGUUUCUCCAUGAAGCUGAUCUGAUGUGAAGCUUGUGCCAGAUAAAAGGUUAAUUGAGUUCUCAUCUCCAAUAUGUGUGCAUUUUAACUAUCCUUGUUGAUUCAGUGGUUCCAUGAUGCUACAUUUCACUUGUUUUUCACCUCUUGAUGCUACUAUGGACAGAAGGCGUUUGCUAAUUUGCACAUUUUUUUUUGAUAAACUGUGCCAAUAUCACCUGCAUUAUGAUUUUUAAAUUAUUGAUCCCUGCUAUAAUGUAGCGUGCCCACAUAACAAGUAUUCCACAAUCUUCGCAAGCAUGUAUUUGUUUGUCUAACUGUAGGUGGAAGAACAAGAUCCACUGUGUGUGCAACGGCAACAAUAAAUAUCAUGUCAUUAGAUCAUGUCAUUUGACUUCCCGGAGAACUACAUAUUCCUGGCUAUUGGAAGGGUCAGGUCAAGUACUGAGUUGAUUGCCCAGAGAGUUGAGUUUGUACAGGAGGCUGAUAAAAGAAGUCACUUGAUGGAUCUGCUCCAUGUGCAAAGAGACAGUUCAGAUCAAGGGAGUUUCUCUUAAGAUUAGUUGUGGAAGUACUCUGGAGGUGCUCCAAGUAGAGAAAGCAGAUCUUUAUUCCAAGUGAUCAUUUUUCUGCCGUCCUUUGCUGCAGCAAGCUCUCAUACUUGUCUUAGUGGAGAGUGGAGACCAAAAGGGGUGCCGACUCACUGGAGAACUGGUUUUUUAUGAAUGGAUUUUCAGCGACUUCAGUUCAUGGUGAUGGAAACCAGUAGGUUUAUCCUUUUUUUUCUCCUUCAGGACCUCCCAUUUUUGCUUGGAGCAUAUUUAUUUCUGCUUGUUCUCUGGAAUGAUGUAAUGAUCGGUCAGUUGCUACCAUCAAAUGAAUAUUGCCAAUUUACUAUUCCUUUGGUUUGUUUGACAGACUAUUGUAGCUUUUGUACUUUCCAGGUAUUGCUAUCACACAUCAAAUACUUAUUUACUGAUUUGCUCCAAAA